rnacentral:rRNA from 1 species
CUUGCGUAACUUUGGAGUCUGAGUAAACUUAAUUAAUAAAUUAAAACUUUUAACAACGGAUCUCUUGGUUCUGGCAUCGAUGAAGAACGCAGCGAAAUGCGAUAAGUAAUGUGAAUUGGAGAAUUCAGUGAAUCAUCGAAUCUUUGAACGCACAUUGCGCCCCCUGGUAUUCCGGGGGGCAUGCCUGUUCGAGCGUCAUUUCACCACUCAAGCCUCGCUUGGUAUUGGGCAACGCGGUCCGCCGGUGCCUCAAAUCGACCGGCUGGGUCUUCUGUCCCCUAAGCGUUGUGGAAACUAUUCGCUAAAGGGUGUUCGGGAGGCUACGCCGUAAAACAACCCCAUUUCUAAGGUUGACCUCGGAUCAGGUAGGGAUACCCGCUGAACUUAAGCAU